rnacentral:rRNA from 1 species
GAGCGCCCCGCAAGGGGAGCGGCAGACGGGAGAGUAACACGUGGGAACGUGCCCUUUGGUUCGGAACAACACAGGGAAACUUGCGCUAAUACCGGAUAAGUCCGUAAGGAGAAAGAUUUAUCGCCAAAGGAUCGGCCCGCGUCUGAUUAGCUUGUUGGUGAGGUAACGGCUCACCAAGGCGACGAUCAGUAGCUGGUCUGAGAGGAUGAUCAGCCUCACUGGGACUGAGACACGGCCCAGACUCCUACGGGAGGCAGCAGUGGGGAAUAUUGGACAAUGGGCGCAAGCCUGAUCCAGCCAUGCCGCGUGGAUGAUGAAGGCCCUAGGGUUGUAAAGUCCUUUCGGCGGGGAAGAUAAUGACGGUACCCGCAGAAGAAGCCCCGGCUAACUUCGUGCCAGCAGCCGCGGUAAUACGAAGGGGGCUAGCGUUGCUCGGAAUCACUGGGCGUAAAGCGCACGUAGGCGGCUUUCUAAGUCAGAGGUGAAAUCCUGGAGCUCAACUCCAGAACUGCCUUUGAUACUGGAGAGCUUGAGUCCGGGAGAGGUGAGUGGAACUGCGAGUGUAGAGGUGAAAUUCGUAGAUAUUCGCAAGAACACCAGUGGCGAAGGCGGCUCACUGGCCCGGUACUGACGCUGAGGUGCGAAAGCGUGGGGA